GCUUUCCUGCGGUGUUCGUUUCGGUCCAGAUUCUUUGAACCGAUAAGCUGUUACCCGGUCGCCAGCUUUUAAGGUGUGCCUGUUGCGCGUGUUCCCUGUACUCCGGUACUUGCCGAACGCACCUGAUGGUACCCGGCCGGUGGCCCCUUGAACCUGUGGGUUCAAGAUGCGGACCGAAACGGCACUCGCGGGAAGCCC
rfam:Jeongeupia sp. TSM3, complete genome.